rnacentral:rRNA from 1 species
AUACGUAGGGGGCGAGCGUUGUCCGGAAUGACUGGGCGUAAAGGGCGUGUAGGCGGCGGUGUAAGUCUGGAGUGAAAGUCCCGCAUUCAAUGUGGGAAUUGCUUUGGAUACUGCAGUGCUAGAGUGCGGAAGAGGUAAGUGGAAUUCCCAGUGUAGCGGUGAAAUGCGUAGAGAUUGGGAGGAACACCAGUGGCGAAGGCGGAUUACAGGGCCGUAACGGACGCUGAGGCGCGAAAGCGUGGGGAGCGAACAGGAUUAGAGACCCUGUUAGACCACGCGGUAAACGAUGAAUGCUAGGUGUAGCCGGUAUCGACCCCUUCAGUGCCGGAGUAGACACAAUAAGCAUUCCGCCUGGGGAGUACGGCCGCAAGGUUGAAACUCAAAGGAAUUGACAGGG